rnacentral:rRNA from 1 species
AGAGUUUGAUCCUGGCUCAGGAUUAACGCUGGCGGCAUGCCUAAUACAUGCAAGUCGAAUGGGGAGCUUGCUUCCAUGGCGAACGGGUGAGUAAUACGUAGGUAACCUACCUUUAGGACGAGGAUAACCUUUGGAAACGAAGGAUAAUACUGGAUAGUAUAGAUUUCCGCAUGGAGAUAUAUUUAAAGAUUUAUCACCUAGAGAGGGGCCUGCGGUGCAUUAGCUAGUUGGCGGGAUAAAAGCCCACCAAGGCGAUGAUGCAUAGCCGGACUGAGAGGUUGUACGGCCACAAUGGAACUGAGAACGGUCCAUACUCCUACGGGAGGCAGCAGUAGGGAAUUUUCGGCAAUGGGCGGAAGCCUGACCGAGCAAAUGCCGCGUGAAUGAUGAAGUAUUUCGGUAUGUAAAGUUCUUUUAUCUAGGAAGAAAAACAAAUUGACGGUACUAGAUGAAUAAGCUCCGGCUAACUACGUGCCAGCCGCAGC